CCCGUUUUGACAACGGCAGUCUCUUAAGAGUGCUCAGCUUUACCUGUUCGCAACUUAAGACAAGGGUUUCGCUCGUUACGGGACUUAACCCAACAUCUCACGACACGAGCUGACGACAGCCAUGCAGCACCUGUGCACGCUCCGAUCUUGCGACUGUCAGCGCCCUUUCAGGCACCUAAUUCGUGCAUGUCAAACCCAGGUAAGGUUCUUCGCGUUGCGUCGAAUUGAACCACAUGCUCCACCGCUUGUGUGAGCCCCCGUCAAUUCCUUUGAGUUUUACCCUUGCGAGCAUACUCCCCAGGCGGGGCACUUAACGCGUUAGCUCCGGCAGAGAAGACAUAGAGAUUCUCCUCUACCUAGUGCCCAUCGUUUACAGCUAGGACUAC
rnacentral:misc_RNA from 1 species